GGCGCCGUACAUGACUGGCGAUGGAAGGUGGAUUACCACAGGGAAGUGUACGCCACGCACUCAAAAGACGCUUGCAAUUCGGUUGCGAUGCGGCAGUUGAAAAAAAGCGGAUUGGACAAAGGGAGCAUUGGGUGCCGAUUUUGCCUUCCUCCGCUGAAUGAGUUCGUGGAAUAAAGCCGUUCGCCUGGGCGCUCAAC
rnacentral:ncRNA from 1 species